GAACUCACUUCGGCAGCACAUACACAAAAAUUGGAAUGAUACAGAGAAGAUUGUCAUGGCCCCUGUGACAGGAUGGCACACAAAUUCAUGAAGCAUUCCACAUUUUU
ensembl:snRNA U6 U6 spliceosomal RNA